rnacentral:lncRNA from 1 species
GUUCACAACUGUUAUAUAAUUACUUUCAUUUGUUUGUAUUUUUAUCUUUUUUUUAUUUUAAAGCGGCUGCUUUCAACAAUUGUUUGGUUUUGUUUUUUUCGAUUCGUAUUCAAUAAUUCAAUCAAUCAAUCAUUUACUGUAUAAUUCACACAUUUUGGUUUCUUCUUAGAUGAUUCGAGAGCGUGUGGCUUGUAUUUAUUCAUAUGUGUGAGCGUGUGUUUGUGUAUAAUUGUAAUUCCGUUAACUACAACUACAGAGACGCCUCUAAAACACACACACGAUGCACGAUCUACAUAUCCAUUCGUGUCUUCUGUAUCGUAUCAUCGAGGUCUUUUUCCUUUUUUAGCUUUUAGAAAUGUUAACAAAUUUACAGACUUAUAUUUGGAUUACCGUAAUCAUGUAUAUAUUAUUUAUAUAUGUAUAGAUGCAUUAUAUAAUAUGCACUGAAAUGUUUCAACAGGAUCUGUUGGUGUGCUCUUUGCGUCACAAAUCGCUCUGUAUAGUGGUGGAGGGGGAGGAAUGAUUGACGGAUGGGGCGUGAUAAUGACAAUUCAACUUUUCCUUUUCUGUGUUGUGUGUGUGUGUGCGUGUGUGUGUAAAAACCGAUUUCUCUAAAAUUUGUCUUACUUUCUCUUUUACUUUAUAUACGAUUUUGAGGCUAUGCUAUCCUUAUCCUCCACAUCAUUGCAUUAUCGUCUAUUUAGAUUCUCCCCUCCGUCCAUUAAAGUAAGAAAAAAAGUGCACUAGUUUCCCGUUUUGGUAUGGCUUUAACAUCGUCAAAGCACCACCCUCCUCCUUCUUUUGUUUGUUUACACACUGCUUAUACCAUUAUAAUAUUUCCAUACCGCCUGUAUAUACCAUCUGUGUCUAUAAUUGCAUUUUAUUUAGUUUAUAUUUGAGAAUUAAUCCCACUUUGUUGUGUGUUGCUUGUGUGUAGAAUGUAGGUUUUUUAAAUGCUACAAGUAAAUGCCUGCCUGCUUGCAAAUUAUUUGGUAUGUCCUUCCACUGUUCCUCCUUUUAAAAACUACUUUGGCCUUAUCCGCUAGGAGUUUCUACACUACUCGUACACUACACUACACUACACUACACUACAUACUGUUUGAAACAUUUUGCAAUGGAAAAAUGAGCAUCGAAAAAUGCACACUACACGCACACACACACACACACACACACACGCAUGGUUCGUAUUAGGGUGGAUCUGCAGAGCGAGAGAGAGAGAUAGCGCUUAGGUGGUUUACAUCGGAGAGGAAAGAUAUAACCGUUGGUUUGCUGGCUGGCUGGCUGACUGGAGAUAUAAGGAGAUAGUAAGAGUGGAUAACAGUUAAGCGCUCGCUCUCUCUGGCUUACAUAUGCAUGUGUGUGGCUGUGUGCACUUUUUCCCCAUCUUCACUUUGGCUCACCAAUUCACUAUAUUUGUAUGAAUUUGUGUGUGUGUUUGUAUAUGUAUUUGUGCGAGUGUGUUUAUGCGUUUGUGUUUAAGUUUUGGAAUUGCAAUUUCUGUAAAUUGUGUAUAUAUUUUUGUUUUAAUUAUUCCAUACAUACAAUACAUAUAUUUUUCGUAUAUAAAAAAAGAGCAUUUUGUUUUGUUUAGUUUAAUGCCUAACAGGGAUAUUCCAUUUCCAUUUAAUUAACGUUCUCUCUCUCUUUCCUAUUCGUUUCAUUUCAUUCGAUUCGUUCGUGCUCCUUCUCCCUAUCCUUCUUCUCUUUGCGGCUUAAAUGCAGUUAUUGACCUGAACAAUUGGUUUGUUUAUCUUUUGUGUUGUGGUUUUUGUUGAUUGAUUAAUUAGUUAAUGCUUUCUCUCUCUAUAUCUUUAUAUAUUACUAUAUGUGUGUGUGUGUAUAUACGUAUAAAUGUAUCUGCAUGUGAGUAUUUCUCUGUGUAUGAAUUUAUGUAUAUAUUUCUAUUCGUUUUUUUUUUAUUAUUUCAUUUUGGAAAUCUUGUUAAAAUGGUUUAACAUUUGCAUCUUCUCUUGCUAUUUCUGUCGUAUUCGUUAUGCUCGGUGUUUAUUUAUCAGAAGUAAUGUAACUGUUAUUGUUUUUGUUUUUCAUUUUUUAAAAUUUAAAACGUUUCCUAUGUUUUUCCUUUGAGUUUUAAUCAAGUGUUGAAAUAUUACUUUUAUAAUUUUAUUUCGUGAAAUGUUUUCGGUUUUUGACUUUCCUCAUUUAAGGUAUUUGUUUUGUUUUUCGCUUUUCCUUUCUUUUGGUGUUCGUUUGUUUUUGUUUCUGCAUUUGGUUUUAUGUUGUUUUUUGUUUUUGAUUCUUUAGUUUGCUUUAGAUUUCUGACGUCACAAAAAUUUCUACGUACGUGUCGCUGUUGGUGUUGUUGUUGUUGGUGGUGGUGGUUCUCGCAACGGAUUCUCAAAUAAUAAAAUUACAUAAAGUCCAAAAAACAAACCAAAAGUUAAAAGUUCUGUCGUCGCUAGGGAAGAAAGAGUCGGAAGGGAACAAGCGGUAGCUAAGAGCGAGUAGGGGGAAGGCUCGAUCCUUUGAAAUCCCAUUUUCUUCGAGGGUUUCCCAAUAGUUCGAGCCACGACUGUAAUUGUCGUAGGGGGAAAGUACAGUGGCGGCUGAAAGCAUUGGUAAGCUCUACAUAUCAUUUUCAUUAAAAUUACAUUUUAAAAGUUAGUACAGCGGGUCUUUUAGUCUUAAAAUACCAGAUUUUCUCCUAAAUGUCAAGCCUUCCCUCCACUGCUCAAGCUCUAGGCGGUUUGUCAGGGGGGUCACUACAAUAUCCUCGUAAAUAAAUAAUUUGGCUCUUACACACUAAGGACUCGCACUAAACAUAGGCAAACAUACUAAAUAUAUCGUACAUAAAAGGGAGGGGGGUGUUUAAAAAAAAAAAGUAUACAUAUAAGUGGGCAUAUUACAUACGAGUAGAUGAUUAAUUAUAGUACAGUUCGGUUAAUUAUAAUUUUAAUAAUAAUAAUAACAAUAGGCAACAACACAGAGCAGAGAACUGAUGUCUGUAUGUAUGUGUUUGUGUGUGUUUGUGUUUCUCAGUUACAGUUUACAGCUACAGUGUUGCAUCAAUUGGGAUGAGUCUGUGUGCAUGGGUGUCUGUAUUUUGUGGACGCCACUGUGUGCCUAUCAGCUAUCAGUUCCAAUAUGGAUGCUGUCCAUUGUGUCCCCUCAGUGUUCGGAGACACAGAGAGCGAAUGAGAG